ACGAACGCUGGCGGCGUGCUUAACACCUGCAAGUCGAACGGAAAGGCCCCUUUGGGGGUACUCGAGUGGCGAACGGGUGAGUAACACGUGAGUAACCUGCCCUUGACUUCGGGAUAACUUCAGGAAACUGGGGCUAAUACCGGAUAGGAAUCCUUGCUGCAUGGUGGGGGUUGGAAAGCUUCGGCGGUUUUGGAUGGACUCGCGGCUUAUCAGCUUGUUGGUGGGGUAGUGGCUUACCAAGGCUUUGACGGGUAGCCGGCCUGAGAGGGCGACCGGCCACAUUGGGACUGAGAUACGGCCCAGACUCCUACGGGAGGCAGCAGUGGGGAAUAUUGCACAAUGGGCGGAAGCCUUAUGCAGCAACGCCGCGUGCGGGAUGACGGCCUUCGGGUUGUAAACCGCUUUCAGCAGGGGCGAAGCUUGUGGUGACGGUACCUGCAGAAGAAGCACCGGCUAACUACGUG
rnacentral:rRNA from 1 species